rfam:Gossypium hirsutum cultivar TM-1 chromosome 13, whole genome shotgun sequence
UAUUAAAAAUUCAAUCCAUUCUACUGUUAAAAAUUGGUAUAAUUGACUAAAUAACCAGACAGUUAAACACGAUGUGUCACGUGUACCUCAUGCUAACUUACAAUGACCAAUUUUUAAAAGUAGAAAUGGAUGAAAUUUCUAUCG